rnacentral:rRNA from 1 species
UACAGAGGUCCCGAGCGUUGUUCGGAUUCACUGGGCGUAAAGGGCGCGUAGGCGGCGUAACAAGUCACUUGUGAAAUCUCCGGGCUUAACUCGGAGCGGUCAAGUGAUACUGUUGUGCUAGAGUGCGGAAGGGGCUACUGGAAUUCUCGGUGUAGCGGUGAAAUGCGUAGAUAUCGAGAGGAACACCUGCGGCGAAGGCGGGUAGCUGGGCCGACACUGACGCUGAAGCGCGAAAGCUAGGGGAGCGAACGGG